CCGGCACGGGUGAGUAACACGUAUGCAAUCCACCUGUAACAGGGGGAUAACCCGGAGAAAUCCGGACUAAUACCCCAUAAUAUGGGCGCUCCGCAUGGAGAGUUCAUUAAAGAGAGCAAUCUUGGUUACAGACGAGCAUGCGCUCCAUUAGCCAGUUGGCGGGGUAACGGCCCACCAAGGCGACGAUGGAUAGGGGUUCUGAGAGGAAGGUCCCCCACAUUGGAACUGAGACACGGUCCAA
rnacentral:rRNA from 1 species